AGUCGAUACUCGAUCUACAUCAUCUACAUAUUCUAAUGUCUAUAAACUAUAAACAUAUGAACCGACCAGUUUACUGUGAAAUGUAAUAAUUUAUUAAAGACAUUUUAAUAAUUAAUAUAUUGAAUAACGUGAACAUUUGAAAACAUUAAAAUAUAAAAUAAUAAAAUAUGCCAUAAGUACUGAUACAGUUGUUCCUUAUUAGGUAUAUAAUUUUAAAUAGGUACGUAUUUUCACCACCCAUCAUGGUGUUUUAAGUUUUACAAAACUUCGCAACUUUUUUUUUAUUUCUGUUUUCCGUUUUUUUAUUUUUAUUUUCCUGGUAUGUGAAUUGCCUCAUUCUCAUUCUCACGUAAUAAAUAACAGCAAAUGAAAUAAUAUUUUCUCCAUGAGUGACACAAGGGAAAUUUGUUAUGUGCUUUUCAUUGAUCAUAUCAUCAAUUAUUAGAUCAAAAACUGUCGCAGACAAUUGCUGAGAAUAAACCUGUGGAGUGGCAAAAGCUGACUUACAAAUUGUACAAUCAUUUAUGUACUUCAACAGUUGUUUUGAUAGAUAUAAUUGGUUUUAAUGGAGAAUCAUCGUGUACAGUACAAUUUCCACUCU